rnacentral:rRNA from 1 species
AGCGAACGCUGGCGGCAGGCCUAACACAUGCAAGUCGAACGAAGUCUUCGGACUUAGUGGCGGACGGGUGAGUAACACGUGGGAACGUGCCUUUAGGUUCGGAAUAACUCAGGGAAACUUGUGCUAAUACCGAAUGUGCCCUUCGGGGGAAAGAUUUAUCGCCUUUAGAGCGGCCCGCGUCUGAUUAGCUAGUUGGUGGGGUAAUGGACCACCAAGGCUACGAUCAGUAGCUGGUCUGAGAGGAUGACCAGCCACAUUGGGACUGAGACGCGGCCCAAACUCCUACGGGAGGCAGCAGUGGGGAAUCUUGCGCAAUGGGCGAAAGCCUGACGCAGCCAUGCCGCGUGGAUGAUGAAGGUCUUAGGAUUGUAAAGUCCUUUCACCGGUGAAGAUAAUGACUGUAGCCGGAGAAGAAGCCCCGGCUAACUUCGUGCCAGCCGCCGCGGUAAAAC